GGGUCUCAUUAAUCUGGUACAGCGCUGCCGUGAGAAGCCAGUAUUCUGUCGAGAUGAAGACUCACCCACGAGUGUUUAUGUAGCUAUAUUGUAUUGAACACACGAAUUAUAUGCGAGCUCAAAAGUGUAAAGAGCAAGAGACAACUGUCGAAAUUAGCAGUAACAACCCUCAGUGUCCCCGGUCACCGUUGUCUGUUUCUGAAUUUCGUAUGAAAUAUGGAUAUCGUUACAGCAAAAUCGAUGGUCUAGCACUCCACGAUGUACCUGUCGAUGGUAACAACACUUUUGCUCAUCUAGAGAUGCGGCAGUUGACGCGGUGAAGUGAAAGCGCAUCGUGGCUUUUAAAAUGCAAAUGUAAACAGCAACCCAGACAGCAAUUUACACUCUUGACACAGCUUCAACAUACGCAAACAGUGAUGUUCGGCGUGGUGCAGUGGUAAGAUGCUUGUCUCGGAACCGUCAGGUCCAAAGUUCGAAUCCUAGGCAAAAGACAUUUUUUUUUCUACUUUUAUUUUUUAUUUUAUUUCGUAUUAAUAAUUUUACAUAACCUUAAAAUGACCUCUGUCAAUUUUCAAUCAAAUAUUGAUCAGGAACUACAGAAUUUUCGACUACAGGGCGUCACACUACAGAGAACAGAACGGCAGUCACAACGUCCCAAAAUACGACAGACUGAAAAUUUGCUGUUGUGUUUUUCAAGUGGGUGAGACGUCUAUACGGCGUAUACGCAGAUUGCUGUCCUCUCUAUUAAAAGCAACGUUGCUGAAACACGUCGUACAAGACUCUGUACGACUCGCAUAACAUCGAAAUACAACGCCGUCACCAUCCAUGAGAUCACCGAAAGCACGGUCGCUUUCGGUGGCGGCCUACAGAUGGCAGCACAGGUAGCGCCGGUAAAGUUACAGGUGAUGUUAUAUUGCCGUCCUCAGUUGUCGCCACAUGUGAGUGCUUGCUGCAUUGACGCCGUCCGAUGUAGUUGUUUAAUCGUGUGUACGCUGUGCCGAGAGAAAUUGUGGUGCAUUUUGUAUGCAUUGAGAAUCACAAAACCCCUGGGACCGCGUAAUGUAGCCCGCAGUAUCCUUCGUGUGGUGCGCCGAUGUCGAAGAUAUGACCCUUCGCGCUUCCUUUGUUCCGGGCUCAUGAACAGGAUCUCCUCCUUUGGCACUGUCGCAUCGUAUCGCGCUGUACGGAAGAAUUUGGUGAAAGUUGUGCUCUUACGUCCUGUAGUUGAUCCGCAAUUCAACAGUGUGUGCGCCGGAAGGACCGUUGGUGCAGUCGAUGCCGCGGCACCUGUGACGCUAAAAGGAGCGUUUUCCGAGUACGCCUAGAAAGGGAUGGCAAGAUUUUGUGAACCAGAGGCACCUCCACAUGUGCACCUGCGGCACUUCUGCAGCCUCAACAGCACGGAAAAGUACCUGAUGUGCAUGCUGUGACAAGCUGCUGUAGGUAUGGCUGGACCUGGAGAAGAAGUGUAAGCAGACCAUGCUAUGUUGCUGAUCUGCGCUGAUCUCCACAUCCAAGUUGGUCCCGCGACAGUUGGGCACCAUUGUGCCUUGCUUCAUUGACAAGGUGAUAUAAUAUGGUGCCCUGCUCGCUCUCACCCAAGCAACCCACUCCAGCGGUCUUCUCUCGGCAGACUGGAUGCAUCGAAAUACCGUUAGAAGGUCCAAUAAACAGUGCUUGGGACAUUUA